CUCUCCAUCAGGGAAGUUUUACUGUUCCUCUUCCCUUUUUUUUUCCCUGAAGGUCUUACCAGGAGUGAAGAUGGGGCUGUGGAAAAUCCAAUGCUGAAUACCACCGUCACUCCACAAGGAUUCUUCAGGAGGAGAUCACAAUGGGAAACAUCAAAUCAAGACUACUUGCUUAUUGCUGCAGUGAAACCUCAGAAGCCAGAUGAAAUGUCUAUAUUUUCUCCUGAAAGCUAUUUUGGAAGCCCAAGUUGGAAUAAUGGUAUCCGGUCAUCUUCCUUGCUCACUAAAUCAAGACUUGAAGGGAGCUCGCUCAUGACGAUGGGUGGAGGGAAUCAAUAUAGUAGUUAUCCCAGAGAAUCUUAUAUGAACCAUCUCGCCAACAUGAAGCUGAAAUACCAUACUUUGCUUCAGACACUAAAGCUCCAUCAGCUGAAACAAGAGCAAGAGAUGGCCCUUCUGAAGCUGAGAGCAGAACUGGAAUCCCGGGAGGCUCAAUCAUCUUUGGAAGAAUUGCUCUUCCGGCAUCAGUUAAAGUGCUUUCAUAGAAGCAGUGCGAUUGGGUGUAGAAUAGAAAACAGGGUGGACAAGUGGAAGAGAAUACAGACUCAAGGGAAUGCUGAACUCCCAGUCUCAUCUGCCAACAACUCGGCUGGAUGCAGAACAAACCAAUCUACAGAAGAAACCCCAGAGACGAGGAGGAAGUCACAAGGGGAGCUAUUGAGUGGUACAGUGUCUACAGGUAAUUCAUUCAGUGGGGCGGACUUCGGGAGUUGUCCACCGCUGGGACUGAGGGGA
rnacentral:lncRNA from 1 species